rnacentral:lncRNA from 1 species
GGCGGAGAGGGUAGCAGCCAGGCCUUCUCUCACUGACGCCAGCCCCUGACCCCCAACACAGCGCAUUAGGACUGCAAGGACACAAGCAGUACACUGGAGACACACCAGAGUUAGGCCUGGGCUCCGGCCCAUCCAAACAACCCUUCAUUUAUAAACAUGUAACGCCUGUCACCCCGAGAAAGUGUCUUAUCAUAACGGUCUUCAUCACUGGUUUCAGUUUUUCUUCCGUGUUGAUCCAUCUACCCACAGCAUGUAAUUGUCACCAUCAUUAAGUUGUUUGAGGUGAUUUGAAAAAAGGGACAUUUAUUUGUCAAAUACACAUUUUGGAGUAUUUUAUAAUGCAUGGCAGUGAAUAUCCUAUAUGUUUAUUCACUCACUGGCCACUGUCUUAAAGGACUUUUCUCUUUUUUUUUGUUGUGUGAUUUAGCUUUAGAUUUUGUGUUUAUCAACUACCUACUCUCUCCAGUGGUGUGUUUUUAUCAACUACCUACUCUCUCCAGUGGUGUGUUUUUAUCAACUACCUACUCUCUCCAGUGGUGUGUUUUUAUCAACUACCUACUCUCUCCAGUGGUGUGCCACUUGUGUUACUGCUGAAUUUGCACAAUUUACAAAAAAAGCUAAAUCAAAAGAAGAGGAUAUAUAAAUAUAUAUAGAUAUAUAAAUACAACUUCAUUUUUAAAGAAACAAAUGAAAAUAGUCAAAGUUUUCCAUUUUAAUGUACAGAAUACUUUGAAAGAAAAGGAUUUGAUAUUUCAAAGACUGAACUAUGAAAACAAGAGGAAACCUUGUCCUGUGCCAUGUUUUAUUUGAAUGUUGUUUAGUGCAAAGACGUUUUCUUUAGAUCAAAUGUGCUAUGAUUAAAAUGUUGUCAUGCCUCGUGACUGAACAGUAAAAAAAAAGAAAAGUUAAAUGACAAAAAAAAAUAGAAGAAAAUCAACAAAUCGUAAAGUUUUGGGGCCUUUCCUGUCUUGGGAGAACAUAUGUUUUAAUAGUCCUGGAAAUACCGUAGCUGUUUGGUGUUCCGGUAUUUAACACAACCACAGUGCUAUUGUGGCUUUUAGAAAAACCAAAGGCUCGGUUUUGUAUACCACUCUGGUGAAAGAAAACAGCCUUCUGUGUUAGCCACCUGGAUGAGCAGCCCUCUUGGUUGCUCCCAUGACCAUGCACACCUCUGUGCACAGGCUCCAGACCACAGUGAAGUAGAUCGCUUUAGUUCUGGGACCUCAAGGUUUUUUGGAAGGCAAAUAUCAUGGCUUACAGUACAGUGAUGUUGCGGGCUUUGCUGUACAACAGAAGUCAGACACCACAGAAGGAUUCAUUGGACUUUAGCACCGCGCUAAAUGUAGCAAAGGUUUAAUUCACCCACUACCCUUUUAAAGGCUUCAUGAAGUUCCACCUGCUGUCUCUCCUCAGGUUCCUCAGAUACUGUAGAUCACUGUGUUAGAGUUACAGUCUUACAGACUGUCAUGGUGGACACUGAGGAAGAGGUUUGCAGACAAAGAUGAGAGAAGUUCAUAGGUAAAGCUUUGAGCGAGCGAAGGGUAAUCCCUCAUGAUUUGAACCCCACAUGAGAGCAAGUACUGUCACUCUAGUGACUUCAACAGUUCUAUUUUAGUGUAAUUAAAUAGAUGGUUUCUUUUUUAUUGUUGAUCUGUUGAAGUGGUGAAAGUUGUAUGAGUUUGUGUGUUUGUACUCUGCAGCAAUCAAACAAUGGUUAGUGCUGGCAGAGUGGAUCUCCCAGGGUUUCCCUUAUGUUCCGUAACAGCAUCUGUGACGAGCGUCAUCCUACCGGAAAAAGAGGAGUUUUAAAGCGCCAAGGAAGGUGCACAUUCAGUGUUGUCUUUUCUUUGUUUUUCAGUCUGCUGUGAAGAUGAAAAAAACAGUGAAAAAUAUGUUGAAAUGCAAACACCUGUGAUGUGUGACAAGAUGAUGAGAUGUAGCUCAGUCUUUGUGAGUGUUUUUAACUGGGCGAAGGUUUUUGUUUCCUCAGAAAUCUGAUACUUUUGUGAAAUGCAUUGUCUCCCUUUAACAUGUUACACCGAUUCCCUUUCGGUCAUGUACAAAAACAAGAAGCUUCAUUCCUUUCCCUUGUCCUCUGAGAUUAGAGAUACAGUAUCGCUGGCUAGAAGAAAGACACAGAUACAUUUUUGAGAAACUUCUGAAAUAUUUAGGUCAGUUCUCCAGUGAGAGCCGUGUGGAUCACACAGACUACAGAUGUGAUAUGUAACCUUCCAUCCCAUCCAUCUAUCCGAGAUCAGGAUUCAACAAAUGUGGUGGGAUUUAAUGAAAAUGAAAAGUCUCUCCUAAAUGUAUUUACUUAAAAUGUUUUGUUUAAUGUGAUAUUCAAAUUCCUCCUAAUCAGUUGGGAGUAGGACUUCAUAACACAUCCUUUAUUUUAUUAGACAUUUACAUUUUCUGAAAAUAUAUGGAUAUUUAGUAUUCAUGUUUCACCUCAGUGUCCUGCAAGGCUGUUACUCUCAUCUUCCUCCUCUCUUGGUCAUCCUCCAAUAAGGACAACCUCUCCUUUCCAGCUCAGGCCAGCUCAGGCCUGUCCUAGUGUUGGCAACUCAAUGAAGUUCAAUACCGCACCCUACAACCAAUCCCUCCCUCCCCACCCGACCAAACACAUAGGGCUGGAAUCGCUGUAUGUACUGUGCUUGAUAUCGGAGAGCAGGGCAUACAGACUAGUUUAUGAAAUUCUUAACUUAAACAGAGUUAUAUGCUGAUUACUGGCUUUUUCCAAACCAGAGAAGGUAGUGGAGGAUCGGCAUUGACUUGACCACUUUUCUGUUCAUUCACCCUAUUUGGGAUGGUUUGAGAUAUUUUUAAACUGCUACUAUGUUCUUCUGUUAAGCAUCUUUUAUUCCCUGAUUGAGCACAUUUGUUUAGUGGAUGGAAAAUGUUGCUGUGUGCUGCCUCCCUCCCGCCACACACACUAGGCUUUGAUGACUGUGAUUGUAAAACAGCUGGUUGCAUUUUAAAGUCUCAGGAUGGUUCUCCUGCUUUGAUGUCGUUUGGCUCUUCUGUUAUUUAAGUGAGAGGUUUCUGAUGAUGAUGAUGAUUAGGAUCUUGGGGGGAGAUUAUGGAUACGUG